GUUUUCUCUUUUUCUCAUAUUCCGUGGGAAUAAGAAAUAGGAAUCGUGGGCCGGCCUGGUGGUGCAGCGGUUAAGUUCACACGUUUCCCUUCUCGGUGGCCUGGGGUUCGCCUGUUCGGAUCCUGGGUAUGGACAUGACAAUGCUUGGCAUGCCAUGCUGUGGUAGGCGUCCCACAUAUAAAGUAGAGGAAGAUGGGCAUGGAUGUUAGCUCAGGGCCAGGCUUCCUCAGCAAAAAGAGGAGGACUAGCAGUAGUUAGCUCAGAGCUAAUCUUCCUCAAAAAAAAAAAAAAAAGAAAUAGAAAUCAAUGUGUCAUUUGCAAAAUCUCCCUAUUGUUGGGGAACUCAAAUCAUCCAGGGUAUCUGCACCUUCGUGCUGGUAAAUUGUCCUUCCAGGAAAGAAAAUAGUUGGGUGCACAGCUCGUCAUGGAGCAUCUUUAGUCAUACAGCUGUCUGCUUUCACCCUGGAAGGAAAAAACAUUAACACCCCUGGAGGGAACUCAGAGGUCAUCUCUGUUUUGGAGGCUGAGACUUCUUCUCCCCUUGUGUGCGUUAGCUACUGCUGCAUAACAAAUCACCACAAGCUUAGCAGCUGAAGACAAAACCCAUUGAUCGUCUCACAUUUCUGUAGACCAGCAGUGGGACCCUCUGUUCAGGGUCUCUCAAGGCUGCAAUCAGGGCGUCAGCCACAUCACCUUCUCAUUUGUUGUCUUCCAAGCUCAUUCAGAUCCAUGGCGGCAUCUAGUUCCUUGCAGUUGCUGAACCGAGGUGUCUGUUUUGUAGCUAGCUGUUGGUGGGAGAUGGCUCCCAGCUCCAAGAGGCUGCCCACAAUUCCUGGCCAGCUAGGGGAGAACUGGAAAAGGUUCAGCUUGUGUACUGUAAUGUUGCUUCUUUAUUAUAUAACCAUUUUUACAUAAGUACUUAAUAUAAGUUCGGACAUUUUUUAGGAGCUUCACAAAUAUUAACUCGUUGAAUCCUCACAAGACUUUAGGAGGUAGGCACUAUUAUUCUUGCUCUCUUACAGAUGAGAAGGACUGAGGCACAAAGAAGGGAAGUCAUUGCCCACAGUCACACAGCCUGCAGGUGCAGCUCGAGUUCAAAGCCAGGCGUGCUGGCUCACAAGUCCAUGCUCUGAGCCUCUGCCUGCGCUGCCUGGACUCUCCUCCCAGGCGGGGAGUCCUUCCCACCUGCACGCGGCAGGCUGGGCGUUAUUUCCAACAGUGGGAGGGGCCUGGUUGGGGUGGGCACAGCUCCUUCUGCAAAGAGACAGCUCCCCUAAUUCAGUUCAUUAUUUCAUCCGGACACACCGCCAUAUGACCGCGUCCUCACGCUGACCUCCACCCUCUUGUUAUUUUGCCAGCUCCAAAGCAGGUGCUUAUGCAAAGGUUUGGAAGAUGAUAAACAAUCUCGGAAUGGUUGUUUGGUUUCCCGAGGUUCCACAGUGGCGAGUACCUUCCGUCUGAAUCACAUACCCUCCUUGUAGUGUGCUACGCCUUGGGAUGAAAUUUUCAACAAGACCCCGACUUUUCUUGCGUACGUUUUAUUCCUUGUGAGCACAGUAUUCUCUUGUACACUGUACACAGUUUUGCUAUUGUCCAGAGCAAUGGAAGGGAAAAUUGAUGUCCAUUUUGGGGUGAAAAUCUAAAAGGCCAUCCUCCCUACCCUCACUGUUACUGGGCUCCCCUUCCCAUUGACCUUGCACCCUCUACUCCGGCUGCUUUUAUUCUAAAUGUCUUCUUCCUUCUCUAUUGAGCUUUUAAAGCAGACAUAUAGACAAACACCCAAAC
rnacentral:lncRNA from 1 species